UACAGAGGUCUCAAGCGUUGUUCGGAUUCAUUGGGCGUAAAGGGUGCGUAGGCGGCGCGGUAAGUCGGGUGUGAAAGUCGGGGGCUCAACCCUCGGAUGCCGGUGGAUACUGUCGGGCUUGAGUACGGAAGAGGCGAGUGGAAUUCCUGGUGUAGCGGUGAAAUGCGCAGAUAUCAGGAGGAACACCGGUGGCGAAGGCGGGUCUCUGGGCCGAAAUUGACGCUGAGGAGCGAAAGCGUGGGGAGCAAACAGG
rnacentral:rRNA from 1 species